rnacentral:rRNA from 1 species
GAUGAACGCUAGCGGGAGGCCUAAUACAUGCAAGUCGAGCGGUAGAGUGACUUCGGUUGCUUGAGAGCGGCGAACGGGUGAGUAACGCGUACACAAUCUACCUUUAAGAGGGGAAUAGCCCUGGGAAACUGGGAUUAAUGCCCCAUGGCAUCACGAGACGGCAUCGUUUUGUGAUUAAAGCUGAGGUGCUUAGAGAUGAGUGUGCGUCUGAUUAGCUAGUUGGUGCGGUAACGGCGCACCAAGGCGACGAUCAGUAGGGGGCGUGAGAGCGUGGACCCCCACACGGGUACUGAGACACGGACCCGACUCCUACGGGAGGCAGCAGUAAGGAAUAUUGGUCAAUGGAGGAAACUCUGAACCAGCCAUCCCGCGUGCAGGAAGAAUGCCCUAUGGGUUGUAAACUGCUUUUAUCUGGGAAGAAAAGUCGGGAUUUAUCCUGAUCUGACGGUACCAGAGGAAUAAGCACCGGCUAACUCCGUGCCAGCAGCCGUAC